rnacentral:tRNA from 54 species
GCGGGCGUAGCUCAGGGGUAGAGCACAACCUUGCCAAGGUUGGGGUCGAGAGUUCGAAUCUCUUCGCCCGCUCCA